AAUCUGCUGACGAUCGUUCGACCGCCCUCUCUGUGCAGAGUGCUGAACGUCGCGCCGCCGCCGUCCCGGUGCCGCUGCCCGCUCUGCAGUCGCAGUGAGCAGCUGGCUGCGGCUGACCGGAAUCGGCAGAUAGUUAUCGAUAGUCUUUUCGACCGUCAGGCGUCAGAGCCGGUCGAGCACCGAGCGGAGCGGAGCGUCCGAGGCCGAAGGCCCAAAGGCCAAACGCAACAAGUUGCGGUCAACGGGCAUUGGAGGUGACACGAACGGCCUAACCGACUUAGACGAGGUGGCGCUGAGCUUGGACGACGGCACUUACGACUAUGUGGUACCGGGCGCGCUCUGCAGUCUCUCGGCCAGGACCCGAAACCAGCUGAGGGCGGCAGCGGAGCUCUGACACCGGAGACGUGGGCGGAGGCCAAAGAUAAUGUGAUCUUCGUAGAAGAAGAGACAUCCCAGCCUCUCUCGCAGUUACCCACCUCCAUCCUCUCCCAGCCCUCUACCUCUGAGCUCUCCUCCCAGCCCUCCCAGCCCACCGCCUCCCAGCCCUCCCAGACGGCCGCCUCCCACCCCUCCCAGCCCACCGACUCCCACCCCUCCCAGACGGCCGCCUCCCUCCCAUCCC